rnacentral:rRNA from 1 species
UAUGUGAUCGUCUCUCGCAUAUCAAUAAGCGGAGGAAAAGAAACUAACAAGGAUUCCCCUAGUAACGGCGAGUGAAGCGGGAAGAGCUCAAAUUUGAAAUCUUAAAGGGUUUCCCUUUACGAAUUGUAGUUUAAAGAAGUGUUUUCUGUUGAGGUUUUGGUAAAAGUUCUUUGGAAUAGGACAUCAUAGAGGGUGAGAAUCCCGUAUUUGACCUUUACUUUCAACUUUGUGAUACACUUUCAAAGAGUCGGAUUGUUUGGGAAUGCAGUCCAAAAUGGGUGGUAAAUUUCAUCUAAAGCUAAAUAUUGGCGAGAGACCGAUAGCGAACAAGUACCGUGAGGGAAAGAUGAAAAGAACUUUGAAAAGAGAGUUAAACAGUACGUGAAAUUGUCAAAAGGGAAGCGUUUGACACCAGUGUUGUUUUUCUGAAAAUCAAUUAAAGAACUGUUUAUGCUAAGUUGUUUAGACUUUAUCAGCUAUCUGUUUAGUUUUGAGCUUUUCUUUAAUGCACUUUUCAGUUAACAAGUCAACAUCAAUUUCUUUUGCUGUAAAAAAGCUUGAGGAAGGUGGCUUGAGAUUCGUCUUAAGUGUUUAUAGCCUCUUGCCUAUGCAGUCGGAGAGAUUGAGGUCUGCAGCGUAGAUCCUUCGGGGCUAAAUGCAUUUGUGCUAAGUUAUAACAUUCUAUAGACAACUUGUUGACUAUGAUUUGUCUUGUAGCUUACUCGCUUAUGUUAUUUUACCUACGCUUAGGAUGUUGACACACGCGCGUGCUCG